rnacentral:lncRNA from 1 species
AGAUUUAGGGUUUAUGUUGCCAAACAAAGUAGGAUUCAACAAGUGCAACAUAACAUGUCACUAAAUUUCGACAACAAGCAUGCUCCUUCUCCAAAGGUGAACCUCAAUGGAAGGAAAUAAAAGGGAGAAUGAGGAUAUGAUGAAGGUGGCUGCUAGGGCUCUCAAAAAUAGGUUUACAGCAUCUCCUCUGGUAUAUGUCAGAAUUUGUUAAGGUUGUCCUUUAUAUAUUACAACUUUUUUGACAUUCUCUUCUAUUUUGAGAUACCUUUUGUCCUUUAACUCAUAAAGUAAUAUUAACUAAAACAUGAAAUAUUCUCGUUGUCUUUCCUCCAAGAAUGAGGCAAUCCUUGCCAAUAUGAGACUUACU